UGUCUGCUGAUGGGUGGGGCUGAGUUCCUUCCCUGUUGGUUGUUUGGCCUGAGGUGACCCAGCAGUGGAGCCUGCAGGCUCUUUGGUGUGGCUAAUGGUGGACUCUGGGAGGGCUCAUGCCAAGGAGUACAUCCCAGAACUUCUGCUGCCAGUGUCCUUGUACCUGUAGUGAGCCACAGCCACCCCCACCUCUGCAGGAGACCCUCCCACACUAGCAGAAAAAGAAGAGCAAAAUAAACUAAGCAGAAGUGAGGAGAUAAUAACGAUAAAAGCGGGACAUUGGUUUGAGCCCUGGUCCAGGAAGAUCCCACAUGCUGCCGAACAACUAAGCCCGUGUGCCACAACUACUGAGCCAGUAUGCCACACUACUGAAGCCUGCGUGCCUAGAACCCAUACUCUGCAACAAGAGAAGCCACCACAAUGAGAAGCCCGCACACGGCAAUGAAGAGUAGCCCCGGCUCGCUGCAGCUAGAGAAAGCCCGCGAGCAGCAAUGAAGACCCAACACAGCCAAAAAUAAAUAAAUAAAUAAAUAAAUUUAUUUUUAAUAAAAGAAGAAAAGAAAGGAUAAAUAAUAUAAACAGGGAUUUAAAUAAAAAGGUACUUUUGAUUGAAAAAUUAAGAUGAAUAUGCACAUUGAAAUUUGAUGCUAUUUUAUAAAAUAAAUGGUAAAAAAAAUCCUCUACAUGAGUAUUUCUCUCUCUGUAUUUGUGUGUUAAAUAACUAUUCCUUCAACAUUAUAUGAAUGCAGAAAAAAAAUACAGAAGGAUACGGACUAAUUUUGCAAGAAUGUUUAUGGAUUAGUAAAUAGGGGUAAGAGAGCCAAAUUAAAAAGGAAAAGAAAAGGGAAGAAAAGAGAAAAAAAAAAAAAAAGAAA